rnacentral:rRNA from 1 species
CCAAAAGAUCGAAUGGGGAGAUUCAUCGUCAGCUCAUUUUGUAUAUAUAUAAGUUAUGAUGCGGGUUACUACUUGUAGUAUUGCCUGCACAUUCUUGUAUAUUUAAUUGCAAGAUGUUGUCGGCGUGCACUUCUCCCCUAGUAGGACGUCGCGACCUGUUGGGUGUCGGUCUACGGCCCAAGUGAUAGACUUUAAUGUAAUUUAAAAAGCAUUAAAGAUCCUUGGUGUUUUCUGACCGGCUACUUGGCAGUAUUCGUACGGUAUUUAUCCGCUAAAUUUAUUAAGCGUCCAUAUCCGUCACAAGCGAGGCUAAUUUACUGAUAGUACGGACCUAGUGCCGUCGUUGGUAUUGGCCACCUGUUGGUUGUAUGGUAUUCUAGGACUGGCUAAAAUUAAUUACCGGUCGGCGAUGCUACUGCUUUGGGUACUUUCAGGACCCGUCUUGAAACACGGACCAAGGAGUCUAACAUGUGCGCAAGUCAUUGGGAUUUUUUUUAAAUUAAACCUAAAGGCGCAAUGAAAGUAAA